rnacentral:lncRNA from 1 species
UGUGCAUAUGUGUUUUUGUACAGAUGAUGUUUGCAAUAAAUAGAGUGGAGAGAUGAGAAAAGAAUUCAUUAAUUAUAUUUUUGUGUUUGACAAGACCUUCAGACUUGUGCCUACGUACCAACAUAAAAAUAAGGGAUCAAAACCUCGUAGUUCGUGGUAUCAAUUUCAAAAUGUGUGGAUUGCUUUUAACAAAAGUUUAAGUUUAAUAAAGGCACAAGAGGC